UGGGGAAUAUUGCACAAUGGAGGGAACUCUGAUGCAGCGACGCCGCGUGAACGAAGAAGGCUUUCGAGUCGUAAAGUUCUUUUUAUGGGAAGAUAAUGACGGUACCAUAAGAAGAAGCCCCGGCUAACUACGUGCCAGCAGCCGCGGUAAUACGUAGGGGGCUAGCGUUGUCCGGAAUCACUGGGCGUAAAGGGUUCGCAGGCGGAAAUGCAAGUCAGGUGUAAAAGGCAGUAGCUUAACUACUGUAAGCAUUUGAAACUGCAUAUCUUGAGAAGAGUAGAGGUAAGUGGAAUUUUUAGUGUAGCGGUGAAAUGCGUAGAUAUUAAAAAGAAUACCGGUGGCGAAGGCGACUUACUGGGCUCAUUCUGACGCUGAGGAACGAAAGCGUGGGUAGCAAACAGG
rnacentral:rRNA from 1 species